rnacentral:rRNA from 1 species
UUAUUAUCCCCUCAGUCCUGCGGCUCACAUUCACCUCUCUCUCAACGCCGGUCGCCGCCUAGAUGUGUCACCUGACUUGCCACCGUCCUCCACUCUCGUCUCAGAUUUGACCCCAAAGUCAAGCGGUAGGCAGCAGCAGCAGGUUCCCGUGUCGCCAUGAGCUGGAUGGGGAAGCGGGGGUUGGGUGGGGAGAGCCCGCACUGGCGGAGAAGACGGACGAGGACUGGCGGCCUCGGAGCUACUGGCGGCCCCGGAGGUACCUCGCCGCCGCGUCCAGUUCGACCCUGCCUCCUGCAAGCAUGGCGACUUCUUCGACACCGUCUGAGCGGGCCACGACCUAACCACGCCCAAUCUCUUCAGGAUGACCCGCUUGCAUCAUAGGCGUGUCUCAAUGGCUAGGUCGAACAGGUCUUCUUCUAGUGCCUCCGUAGGAAACAAUGGAUCAACUCAGUCAACUGUACAGGCUAAAAAGCCUAGAACACCAAGAACUAGGACUACAGCCGGUCUCAGACUAGAGGAAAUUGACCGACCGCUUAUAGUUCCCAUUGGCAUGGCAUGGGAAAGGCACCCAUACAGUGCUCGUGAUCCAUCAACGGUGUUAGGUGCCUUAGUGCGCCAGAUGUAUCCACCGCCAAUUGGUCCAAAAAAUGAUCAGAAACCGGUAUUGUGUUGGGAGGACUACAAGUGGUCCCCUGGUCCAGAAGUAAGAACAGCAGCUUCCAAAAUAGUGGAAGAAUUUUGGUGGCGUUUCAAGUGUGACCCAUCGGAGCAAGAGAAGGCAGAUGGUGUUUUGGAGGAGAACUUAACUAGGAAAGUGAAGCAGAUGCUACAUGAGGAAAAGGCGGCAGCCAUCAAAAGAUUAAAGAAGAAGGGACAAUUGCCUACAGAACUAACAGAAGAGGAUGAGGAUGGUAACCGCUGGCCAACUAAGGAAGCUUUAAUUUCUGCAAAGAGAGUUGACUUUGGUACAGACGUUGGUUGGCGUCUACUAUGUGAGCACUAGAGUAGUACUGAAUUUAGAGGGUUAUCUUUAACCAACAAAAGGAAUAGACUUGCUAAUGGGGACACGGUCUUCCAUUGCAGUGGUGCUAGAAAUGUUGUCGCCACAUGUCAAUUUCUGAAACUCAAAACCGGGAAAGACCCUGGAAUUUCUGGUGCUUGGCUUCACACGCACAAAUUGCAUCGAGGGACUGAUGAAGAGCAGAUAUGCAGUCAAAGAACUGCUGAUCAUUGGGAGGAUUUUGAUAAGGCAAUGAAAAAUGCCCAUGGAGAAAAUUGGGAAGAGGAGCACCCGGAUUUAGAUGGACAAAUCAUCUACGAAGCAGCAGGCAGAAUGCCACAUGGCAGGCUGGGAAUUGCUAAUGAGUUGUUUAGCAAAGCAGAGAAGGCGAAGUUUAAGUCUAAAAGGGCGAUGGCCUCACAGCCGGUGCAAUCUGCUAAGGAGGAGCGUCUAGAAAGAGAAAACAAAUAUUUGAAGCAGGAGAUCAAUCGUCUUCGAGGCAUUGAGCUUGUUGUUCAGUCUUUGGCUGAGAAAGGGGGAGUCGACUUUGAUGGCAUAAUGCAAUCAGCAACAGAUGACUUGUCUCCAUCAUAUUCUGAAGGCGGAUUUCAAAGGGGACGAGGUGAUGUGCCUCAACACCAAACCGAAAAGGGAAUGGGAAGCAGGACUGGAGGCAGUACGAGUCAUGGAAAUGAUGAUGAGGACGACGACUAUGGCAAUGGGGGAUAUGGUAACUAUGGCGAGGGUGAUCUGUAUGGUGAUGAGCACUAUGAUCACUAUGGUGAUGGGGAAUAUGAUGACUAUGGAGAUGAGGAUGACUAUGUCUAUGGCUAUGGCGGUGGCGAUGGCGAUGAUGAUGAUUGGCUAUAAAAUCUAAUGAUGUUCAAGUCAUGUCAAAAUGUAGUUGUGUUAGAUAUUUGAAACACUUUAUUAUCUUAUGGACAAAUUUGUCUUAGUGGACAAUUUAUCUUAUGCAAAAUGUGGCCUAUCUCAGUUACUAUUUUGUUCUGCAUUCGACAUUUGAUAAUUAUGGUUAAUGC